rnacentral:rRNA from 1 species
AACGAACGCUGGCGGCAGGCUUAACACAUGCAAGUCGAGCGAGACCUUCGGGUCUAGCGGCGGACGGGUGAGUAACGCGUGGGAACGUGCCCUUCUCUACGGAAUAGCCCCGGGAAACUGGGAGUAAUACCGUAUACGCCCUUUGGGGGAAAGAUUUAUCGGAGAAGGAUCGGCCCGCGUUGGAUUAGGUAGUUGGUGGGGUAAUGGCCCACCAAGCCGACGAUCCAUAGCUGGUUUGAGAGGAUGAUCAGCCACACUGGGACUGAGACACGGCCCAGACUCCUACAGGAGGCAGCAGUGGGGAAUCUUAGACAAUGGGGGCAACCCUGAUCUAGCCAUGCCGCGGGAGUGAUGAAGGCCUUAGGGUUGUAAAGCUCUUUCAGCUGGGAAGAUAAGGACGGUACCAGCAGAAGAAACCCCGGCUAACUCCGU